rnacentral:ribozyme from 1 species
UGAAGGGAAUGAAGAUAAAUAAGAAGAACACGAUGAAAAAGAGGCAAAUGAAGUGCGCGCUCUUUGUUCUUCGUGUCACUUCUUGUUCUCUUCAUUCAACCAAUCU